CACAAGACCUAACCCUAAUCCCAUGCCCUAUUCCCCUCACCUCCCACUCAGGGCCUCAUCUCAUCCCCUGUCGGCCGCCCCUCCUGCGCCUCCUCUCACGAGCGACCACGCAAUUCCGCACUCCGCCGCCCCGCCGCCCCUCCUGCGCCACCGCUCCCACUCCAGUCCGCCCCGCCUCCUCCACUCCAUAGCUCCGUAGAUCCCACCUCCUCCGCUCCAGCACGCUCCCUCCUCCCGACGCGGCGCAAGGGACCGCCCAAGCCUGGCCCGCCGGCCUCGCCUCCCUCGAGGCGGCCGUGCUCGUCCGCGGGCAACCACUAGAAGGCCCUGGACCUCGUCCUCCACGCGCUCGGCCCCCUGCAGGAGUCCCACGGCUGCUGGUCGCUCCCUGUCGUGCGCGCGCUCCGCGUCUUCGGCGCCACGGCCUCCCGCGUCGGGAGCCUCGAGUCCCUCGAUGCCACCCUCCAAUGUUGUUGUUCCUGUUGUUGAUUAUUGAAUGUUGCUGUCUGUUCGCUGUUAAACCGCUUGCCGAAAUAACGGUGUUUUAAGUUGGGUAAAAAUACCAGCGGGUAACCCAUACCCGUGGCGGGUGGCGGGUAUGGUAAAAUUUCGUAUCCGGUCGUCGGGUACGGGUAUGAUAGAGCUGUCCCGUACCCAAACCCGAGGGGUGCCAUCCGGAGUUUUGCAUUAGCAAUCAGAUGUACAGUUUCACUUUUCCUUCCAUCUUCAGAGUCCAGAUUCUUUUCAGAAGUGGCUUCACAAUUGUGCCAAUAAACUGAAUCUCAUAGAUACUCCAGCAAACCAGAGAAGUAAUUUUCAUAUGAAAAGAGACCAUGAAUUGCUGUUUCAGCUCCUAAACAUUCAGGGCAGAUGUAUCUCCAGCAAUUCAAUGAGAAUGGGCACCGGAAAAAGAGGUGAUCUCUGGUCUUAAUCUGAUUUCCCUGGCAGAGAGUGCAGGCAUAUGAGGGGUGGAUAAAAAAAUUCUGUUGUAACAUGGCUCUAGUGUUGAGUCUGUUGAUAAGGAGUAGCCAAAUGAAAACUUUGUGCUUGAACUCGCAGUAGGAUUUCCAGUUCCACAUAAAUGUGGCAGGAGUGUCAACAUGAUUCACAAAUAGGUCAUAGGCAGCAACAGUACAAUAACCUUUAGGCAUGGAGAUAAUGUCCCAAUCAUGCCGAGGAUCAAUAUUUGUUAGCUGGAUAAGAUGAAUCAUGUCCUGAAGCUGGUGAUAUGCAUCAACAGAGAGGGGUAGAGCAAACAAUGAGGGCAAGUCAUUGCAUUUGAAAAUGUCAGCAACUGUCAUGCUCUGAUCCAGGGCAAAGGAAAAGAGCUGUGGCCACUGAUGCACUAAGAUAUUGUCUAACCACCUAUCCUUCCAGAAGAUUGCAGUAGUGUCACUAUGAAUAGUGCAUUUAGCAUUCCUCUUAUACAAAUGCAUCAGUUUCAGAGUGUCUUCUCCACCAGAAUGAUGCAUUCAUAGGAUUAGCCGUGUGGCUCCCAUGUGGGUAGUGUAGCUCCCAGACAAGAUGUGCCCAUGGGUGAUCAGCAUGAUUAAGAAACUUGUGAACAUUUUUCA